rnacentral:rRNA from 1 species
AAUCAACGCUGGCGGCAUGCCUAACACAUGCAAGUCGAACGGGAAAGUGGGAGCAAUCCCAUGAGUAUAGUGGCGCACGGGUGAGUAACACGUGACUAACCUACCCUCGAGUGGGGAAUAACCCCGGGAAACCGGGGCUAACACCGCAUAAUACCGCAAGGUCAAAUGCGCAAGCAGCUUGAGGAGGGGGUCGCGGUUGAUUAGCUAGUUGGUAGGGUAAUGGCCUACCAAGGCAGNGAUCAAUAGCCGGCCUGAGAGGGCGCACGGCCACACUGGAACUGAAACACGGUCCAGACUCCUACGGGAGGCAGCAGUGGGGAAUUUUGCGCAAUGGGGGAAACCCUGACGCAGCAACGCCGCGUGGAGGAUGAAGCCCCUUGGGGUGUAAACUCCUUUCGAUCGGGACGAUUAUGACGGUACCGGAUGAAGAAGCACCGGCUAACUCUGUGCCAGCAGCCGCCGCGGUAAC